rnacentral:lncRNA from 1 species
CCAGGCUCCACCCACCCCUGGCAUCUCAGGCUGCCCACAGCUCCAGAACCCCAGGCGCCCACUCACCAUGCACAGACACCUCCACCUCGGCCCCGGCAGUGCCCGCCUCAUUGGUGGCCUGGCAGGCGAAGAGGCCUGAGUGGUCCAGCUCCACAUGGUCAAUGUGCAGUGUGGUCCCCUGCGAGGCCACCUGCACCCCAGCCAGCUCCUCGGCUGGGCGGCCAUUCUGCAGCCACCUAAGCUUCAUUUCCAGUGCCGCUUGGGGUCAACACAGCACUAGGACCUGAGAUGCUUCAGCAAUGGAUGGAAGAGCAGGCGAAGGCCCCACCCGCCCUGCUGGGACCAUACCCACAAGCCGGCCUUAGGAAAGUCUCCGUAAAGGGCCAUUCCAUUGGCAGAAGGCAGAACGAGGUCCUCUGUCCUGGGUGACCCAGCCCAGGGUCCUGGGCACAGUCAGGGACCCUUGAUCCUGGGGCUCCACCCUGCCCACUCCUAGCCCUGCCGGCCCCACAGCCCAGGCCUCAGCGUCCUCAUCUGUGUCAUGCAAUGUGGGGACACUGGUUACUUCUCCCCACCCUCCCUCCACUCCAGGAGCUCUCUCGGGACAAGCACGCAGCAGGCCUGGGCAGACGUCCACAGCCCAGGCAGCUCUGAGUGGGGUGGGCCGGGCUCACCCUGAACCUCCACGGAGUACUGCAGGACGGCUUCCCCGGCAGGACUGCUGGCCACACAGCUGUACAGGCCACUGGAUGCCUCCCCCGGG